AGAUUGAACGCUGGCGGCAGGCCUAACACAUGCAAGUCGAGCGGCAGCACGGGUACUUGUACCUGGUGGCGAGCGGCGGACGGGUGAGUAAUGCCUAGGAAUCUGCCUGGUAGUGGGGGAUAACGCUCGGAAACGGACGCUAAUACCGCAUACGUCCUACGGGAGAAAGCAGGGGACCUUCGGGCCUUGCGCUAUCAGAUGAGCCUAGGUCGGAUUAGCUAGUUGGUGAGGUAAUGGCUCACCAAGGCGACGAUCCGUAACUGGUCUGAGAGGAUGAUCAGUCACACUUGGAACGUCUAGA
rnacentral:rRNA from 1 species